rnacentral:rRNA from 1 species
UCCUACGGGGGGCAGCAGUAGGGAAUCUUCCACAAUGGGCGAAAGCCUGAUGGAGCAACGCCGCGUGGGUGAAGAAGGUCUUCGGAUCGUAAAACCCUGUUGUUAGAGAAGAAAGUGCGUGAGCGUAACUGUUCACGUUUCGACGGUAUCUAACCAGAAAGCCACGGCUAACUACGUGCCAGCAGCCGCGGUAAUACGUAGGUGGCAAGCGUUAUCCGGAUUUAUUGGGCGUAAAGGGAACGCAGGCGGUCUUUUAAGUCUGAUGUGAAAGCCUUCGGCUUAACCGCACUAGUGCAUUGGUAACU